UAAGACAGCUGAAUGAUAGUCGGGCUGAAGACUCUACUUGACUAGCUGAGAGGAGGUGCAUGGCCGUCGUCAGUUCGUACUGUGAAGCAUCCUGUUAAGUCAGGCAACGAGCGAGACCCACGCCCACAGUUGCCAGCGUACUCUCCGGAGUGACGGGUACACUGUGGGGACCGCCGCUGCUAAAGCGGAGGAAGGAAUGGGCAACGGUAGGUCAGUAUGCCCCGAAUAUCCCGGGCUACACGCGAGCUACAAUGGUUGGUACAAUGGGUAUCUACCCCGAAAGGGACGGGAAUCGCCUAAAACCAAUCUUAGUUCGGAUUGAGGGCUGCAACUCGCCCUCAUGAAGCUGGAAUCCGUAGUAAUCGCGUUUCAACAGAACGCGGUGAAUACGUCCCUGCUCCUU
rnacentral:rRNA from 1 species